GAGGGUUUGCGGUAAGAGACGCAGGCAUGGCUGGAGAGCCCCAGAGCUCCUCUGCUGAGAGGAGGAUGGCUUGGGGCAAGAAGCGCAGAGCUCCUUUAGAAAGAUGCGGUUUGAUGGCUUGUCACUCCAGCGCCGGGCUGGUCGGAGGAGGAGAAAAAAAUAAGACAUUGCCCGUUGCUGGUGGACUUGAGGUUGGGAUUGCAGGCAGUCGGUGCUUGGGCGGCACAGCCUAGCGGCGUUCCCACGCUCUGCGAAAGCCUUGCUUCAUUUAUAUUGCACAGAAAACUCCGGGCAGUGCCCGAGGGGGAGCAAGCGAGUGCGGAGGGGCGAGCGUCUGUACGUGGGGAGGGAGGGAGAGGUGGCCGCAAAGGAGUUGAAGUGUCUUUUGCGAGCACCCCUCAGCGCGUCUCCCUGCAAGGACCGUACUGGUGGGCAGAGAACCGUAACCCCUUCAUUUACCACCCUUAGCGAAAGGUUCUCUGGCCUUUAAAGGUUAUCGGGCAGCGUUACUGGGUAGUAGGUAAAGCGGCCCUUUUUAGUGCUAGGAGCGCAGAAGACGGCAAAUUUCGCCACGUCUUUUGCAAUGGAGAAAGGAGCAAGCGUCGCACGUCCUGCUCUCUCCGACUUUGCGCAGGGCCAGCCACGAGAUCACUCUAGAAAGAAACUACAAAGGUUAAGCCACACCUAAAGGGCAGAGCAGAAGACGAGGACUGUUUUGUCUUCACAGCAGGAAAUCAUCGUGGGGGAGAACCAAACUGCGUCGAGGUAAUCGCCAGAAAGUCUCUCAAAGGAGGUGCAGUUUCUGAACAGAGGUUCAGAAUAGCUUUGACCGCACCACGUGAGGUCAGGCUACACCAUUUGUAGAGUAAUCCUAAAGGACAGCAGGUUCUCCAAUCUCAGAGAGGUGCUCUAAGGAUAAAAUUCACUAAUGCUGGUGAAAGAUGCUUGGAUACUACAGGGAACAGCACCACAGAAAAGCCUAAGAAUACUGAAUUCAUAUUUGCAUGUUCUAAUUGUGCCUUUGGGUUCUCUAAAAUUGACUUGUUUUUAGUUUCACGGAAAUACUUUUAAAAUGGGAAGCGGGGAGUAGCGUCUGGAAGCAGCAUCCUGAAAAAGGGCAACCCAAAGUCUGAGGACUCUGGCUCGGGAAAGAGGGGAAAGGGUGUUCGGGGGGCCUCGUCUUUUCCCGACCUGGCCCUCCGACCGCGGAGUAUUCCGCAGGACAACGUCUUGUUCUGUUCUCAGCAGGCUUACAACGCUGAAAGAGGCAAGAGCAGUAGCUGGCCACGCUUCAGGGCACGCUGCGGUUGCAUUGGGCUUCAGGUCAAUUAUCUAAAUACCUUUCUGUAGAGAAAAAGCCCCAUUUUUUCAGUUCGUUUCUGUAAUUUGAAGGUAAAUCUGAGAACUAGGCAAAUGCGUAUUUCACCUGAGAGGUAUCGCUUGUUUUUCAUUUCUGUCAGAAUUUCUUUCAGUAUCAGAUUCAGAUUCUUUCUUUCAGGAUAAAGCUGUCUUUAUGCAAAGCAGGGUGCCUAAUAGCCAUCCUCAACUACUUAAACAAGUCAAUUUUGCAAGGACUGUAGGUGUCAAGCCAGAGCACCGUUUGGGACUACAGUACAGGGAUCCUAGAUUUUAAACGAAAUGUUACCUCAUGCAUCAUUUUCUGCCAUACUUGUAGCAUUCCAGUUGAUUUCUCUCAAAAUAAACGUUGCUUUCUGUAAUUUGUACACAUGCUAAAGCUACUGGUUUGGUUUUUUAACAACCAUUUUACACAUUUGCUUUACACAUGUGGGUUUUCUCUAAACUCUAAAGAAACAAUGAAGGUUAAAACUUUGUACAUUUUUAAAAUGACUGCUAAGGUCAAAAGUAUAAAAGUACGUGUUGCAUUAAAAUUGAGUGCUGUUUAUGUAUUUAACAGAGAUGUAUGGUUUUGCAUUGUUAAAAAGAAUGAUCUAUGCUUUCUCUGGGGGGGGAUCUGUGCUCCAAUAUUGUCCAAUAGCUUUCAUAUUCUAACUACUUUAAGUAAAGUUCUAACAGUUUGCAUAUGA